GAUGAACGCUGGCGGCGUGCCUAAUACAUGCAAGUCGAGCGAACGGACGAGAAGCUUGCUUCUCUGAUGUUAGCGGCGGACGGGUGAGUAACACGUGGAUAACCUACCUAUAAGACUGGGAUAACUUCGGGAAACCGGAGCUAAUACCGGAUGAUAUUUUGAACCGCAUGGUUCAAAAGUGAAAGACGGUCUUGCUGUCACUUAUAGAUGGAUCCGCGCUGCAUUAGCUAGUUGGUAAGGUAACGGCUUACCAAGGCAACGAUGCAUAGCCGACCUGCGAGGGUGAUCGGCCACACUGGAGCUGAGACACGGUCCAGACUCCUACGGGAGGCAGCAGUAGGGAAUCGUCCGCAAUGGGCGAAAGCCUGACGGAGCAACGCCGCGUGAGUGAUGAAGGUCUUCGGAUCGUAAAACUCUGUUAUUAGGGAAGAACAUAUGUGUAAGUAACUGUGCACAUCUUGACGGUACCUAAUCAGAAAGCCGCGGCUAACUACGUG
rnacentral:rRNA from 1 species